GGGAUGUGAUUGGUGGAGUAAAUGAGGCAUACGUGUAUGUUACCUAUUUUGGCUAUAAUCAUAACAGUGAGUUAGCAAAAAGUACAUGGUGGUCAGGGCUUCCGGGGGGUCAGGGACUGUUUCUUUUUCCUACCAGGUGGCCCAUGGAGCAGUGCCCAUAAUUUAGUCUGGUUUCUGCAUUUUGUUUUCUUUUCUGGUCUGUUUCGUCUAAAUGAUGGGUCAGUUUGUCCCACAUAUCUAAAAACUUACUUUUUACUUCUAUAGUUGAGGGCCUUGGGCUUGUACAAUUCCCUUUCUGGGAGGGCGUCUUUCAUAGGAAUGUCUCGGUAGAUUGUCUUGAUUGUUGACUGGUGUGGGAGGCCCCUGUCCGCUCUGGGCAGUGAAGUACCUGGGCGUGUGGUUCUGGGAGGUAUAAGGAAGGCAGCUGAAUGUGAUCCUGGAGAGAAGCCAGCAAGCAGCACUCCUCCACAUUCCCCACCUCUGCUCCUGCCUGAGUGCCUGCUUGGCUUCCCUCAAUGAUCAGACCUGUGCAUCAAAUAAAUCCCUCCUCCCAGAGUUUACAUGGUGUUUAACAUAGCACUACAAAGCAAAGUAGGCCCGCCAUCAUGGCUGAACAGCAACUAGCAGAAGAUGUUCCCUGGUUGAGUUGCUCAGUGGACUCUAAGACACCCACGGCAUGUGUGCUAAUAAAGGGUUGCCUGAGUUUUAGAGAUCCAAAGUCAAGAAGUUGUUAGCCAUGGCUGUCUGUGAAGAGGAUUCUGAGAGAUUUCCUCUUUGCCAUUCAUGUUGGAAUCUCACUGUUUCCCUCACAGCAGGAAUAAAGUCUAGAGCUCACCACCUGUGAGUGAGUGGUAGGGUUCUUCAGAGUCCAGAGUAAUUAUCUGAACACGAGAAGGGGAGGGGAGGCGAGAGGAAAUGUCUUGCUUUUAUCCAGUGCUCAGUCAAGUCAGCCCUGGACAAAUGUAUAUAUAAAAAGCACUAAGUGAGAUCAGCAGGUUGGGUAUGUGUGUGUCUGGGUGUGUGCUCACGUGCAUGUGUGAAUUCUGGGAAGUUAUUUUUGAGGUGUUUUUUUUUCUUAUUUCAUUUUAAUGUAGCUAUUUUGUGUGGGGGAGGGGAGCACAUAGGCACAAGGAGGACAGAAGAUAACUUGUUAGAAUCAGCUCUGGUCUCCUACCGUGUGGAUCUUAGGGAAUUAAACUCAAGUUGUCAUAUGCCUGUGGCCAACACUAGCCUUCACCUACUAAAUCAUUUUAGGAGUCUUAUUUUUGAGAUAAGUAUUAAGUGAGAGGAUUUCGAAGGUUCCUAAAUAUAAUGAAAACCAAACAAACAUUUAAAAUAAUUGAUACAAUUACUUAAUUUGAAUUCACUUGCAUCUCUUUUCAUACUUAAAGCCAUAAAUUAUGGAGUCUCUCUGAGUUUAUCUCCCACCUGGAAGCAGGGCCCCAACACCCGUAGCACAGUGAAGGACAGAGGUUGCCUGUUCUGCCUCUGUGAGAAGCAAG
rnacentral:lncRNA from 1 species